UACGUAGGGGGCAAGCGUUGUCCGGAAUCAUUGGGCGUAAAGCGCGUGUAGGCGGUUCGGUAAGUCUGCUGUGAAAGUCCAGGGCUCAACCCUGGGAUGCCGGUGGAUACUGUCGGACUAGAGUACGGAAGAGGCGAGUGGAAUUCCCGGUGUAGCGGUGAAAUGCGCAGAUAUCGGGAGGAACACCAAUUGCGAAGGCAGCUCGCUGGGACGUUACUGACGCUGAGACGCGAAAGCGUGGGAGCAACAGGG
rnacentral:rRNA from 1 species